AUGCAGCCGACGACCCGGGAAAUGCAAGCCAUGGCCGCCGCCGGCCAGAUCUCCCUCGACGACCUGCGCAGCGGCCACGCGGGGGUCAACAAUGGCGGCGCCGGCGGCGUGCACGACGACUUCCUCGACCAGAUGUUCGGCAGCCUGCCGCCCUCGGCCUGGCACGACCUUGCCGCCGGGACCAAGCCCGAGGACGGCGCGCAGGCCGACGGGAUGCAGCAGCAGUUGUUUGGGGGCCCGUACGACGACUCGAUGAUGCUGGCGUCGCGGCUCCGGCAGCACCAGAUUAGCGGCGGCCCUGGCGGCGGCGCCGCCUCGGCGAAGCAGAUGGUGCUGCGGCAGCUCGCCGAUCUGAGGCAGGGCCACCACAACAACAUGCUCCUCCAGGGCAUGGGCCGCUCGCCGUCCAUCGGCGGCGGCGGCGGGGAGGGCGGCCUGCUGCUCCCACUCACCCUCGGCAACGGCGGAUCGGGCGGCGACGUGCAGGCCCUGCUGAAAGCCGCCGCCAAUUCCGCCGGAGGGGACGCCGGCGUCUUCGGCGGCUUCGCCGGAUCGCUCCAGCAACAGCAACAUUUUCAGCCACAUCCACAGCAGCAAACGGCGCCCAUGCCGAGCCAGACCUUUGGCGGAGUAGGAGGUGCUCCCGGCGGCGGGGCGCAACCACAACAACAAGCCGGGGGAGGAGGAGGCGGCGGCGCGCCGGCGCCGCCGAGGCAGCGGGUGCGCGCGCGGCGAGGCCAGGCCACCGACCCACACAGCAUCGCGGAGCGACUUCGCCGGGAGAGGAUCGCCGAGAGGAUGAAGGCCCUUCAAGAACUGGUGCCCAACGCCAACAAGUGGCUGCAGACGGACAAGGCGUCGAUGCUGGACGAGAUCAUCGACUACGUCAAGUUCCUGCAGCUCCAAGUCAAGACGUCUAUGCCAACACACACGCAGGUGCUGAGCAUGAGCCGGCUGGGCGGCGCCGCUGCCGUCGCGCCGCUCGUGGCCGACAUGUCCUCGGAGGGGCGAGGCGGCGCGGCCGGCGGAGCGGCCGACGGGAGCGACGGCCUGACGGUGACGGAGCAGCAGGUGGCCAAGCUGAUGGAGGAGGACAUGGGCGCCGCCAUGCAGUACCUGCAGGGGAAGGGCCUCUGCCUCAUGCCGGUUUCCCUCGCCUCCGCCAUCUCCUCCGCCACGUGCCAGCUCCGCCCCCCGGCAGCCGCGGCCGGCGGCCCCUUCACCGCCGCACAGCACAUGAGCGCCGCCAUGCGCAUGAGCGUCGGCGACGGCGGCGUGCCGGCGUCGCCGAGCAUGUCCGUGCUCACGGCGCAGUCGGCCAUGGCCAACGGUGGAGCCUGCGCCAACGACGGCGAGGGUUCGCAUCCCAAGGACGCCGCGUCCGUCUCCAAGCCGUGA
rnacentral:rRNA from 1 species